rnacentral:rRNA from 1 species
UACGAAGGGGGCGAGCGUUGUUCGGAAUUACUGGGCGUAAAGGGCGCGCAGGCGGCCUUAGAAGUCAGAUGUGAAAGCCCCGGGCUCAACCUGGGAAUGGCAUUUGAUACUCUGAGGCUGGAGUACGGGAGAGGAGAGUGGAAUUCCCAGUGUAGAGGUGAAAUUCGUAGAUAUUGGGAAGAACACCGGUGGCGAAGGCGGCUACUCUGGACCCGUAACUGACGCUGAGGCGCGAAAGCGUGGGGAGCAAACAGG